UACGUAGGGGGCUAGCGUUAUCCGGAAUUACUGGGCGUAAAGGGUGCGUAGGUGGUUUGUCGCGUCUGCUGUGAAAACUCGGGGCUUAACCCCGGGCCUGCAGUGGGUACGGGCAGACUAGAGUGCGGUAGGGGAGACUGGAAUUCCUGGUGUAGCGGUGAAAUGCGCAGAUAUCAGGAGGAACACCGGUGGCGAAGGCGGGUCUCUGGGCCGUAACUGACGCUGAGGAGCGAAAGCGUGGGGAGCGAACAGG
rnacentral:rRNA from 1 species